GUUCCUGCUAGACAAGAGUGAGGAGAAGCUGCACGCACUCACUGUCUUGAUGCUGCAUUGCUGUGCUGGUCUACAAGACUCUCACGACACCCUCACAUUACCAAACUGCAACUGAGAUCUUUCUUCUGACUUCUUCGUCUCCGUCCUUGCGGAUUCUUCUAGUCUCCAGUCUUUCUGUAAUUUUAAGCCACUGAAUCCAUAUCACUCUGCUUCAGGAAAACUUUAGUUACUACAUUUUACCAAAAUGACACUUUUAGUUGGUCACUACGUUUAAGAAUAUUAUCUAGAAUAACAUUAGGGAUUUUAGUCAUUUAGACUUUUAAUUUUACUUUAUAUUUUUAUAUGACCUUAUAUUUUUUUUUUCAUUGAGUGAUUUUUCUCAAAUAUUUUUGUACAAAAGUAAACACUUGUUUCAGUAUCACUUGAGGUUGGAUGGUUUUAUAUUGAUUAUUGAGUGCUUUUGUCUGUUAAAUAUCACAAUAUACUUUUAGUCUACUUAUGCUUUUUACCUAGUCACUUGUUGAAUUUUAAUUUAGGAGGUGUAGCCUAUGUUAUUUACAUGUUAUCGUGCUUGUUUCCUUGAAAGUUUUACUUUUUGUGACUCCCUUUUUAGUAUGGUUUUGGUGCUUUUAUAUUCUGUAAAGUUAAAUUCAUACUGCUAAGGUGAGAAUUAAAUAAGAAAACAAGAGAUUAGUAAAAUUGUAUGCAUUUUAAAUAAAAGAAAUCAAUUUUAAAAAAUCUUGAAUUUAUGUUUUUUUUCAUAUUAAAAACUUUAUUGAAACAAUCAUCUUUCUUAACUGCAGUGUUAAUUAAUUGAAUUGCCAAAAUACCUAAAACAGUUUGAAACAAAAAUGACAAAAGGGCCUGAGCAUUUUACGUCAAUUGGAGGAUGGUUUGAGAUUGGUUGUUUUUUCUACCCCAAAGCUGUAAGAUACUUUUUGUAAAUCCUAGUUUAUGUGUGCCUUAAAGUACGUUAAGAGUUUGUUGGUUAUAUGUGAUCGAGAAGCUAUUACCCAUAGUAGUUUGCCUAGUUGAUUGAAUUAAAAUAGAAAUUUAAUACGAGGCUCAACUGUUGUUUUCUAAUUGGAAAUUAAUUUGGUGUGUUGAGUUGAAAUGGAAUGCAUUUACAAUUUUUGGCCUAGAUAGGGCUUUAACCGUGCUAUGAACGAAAUAGCAUAUGCCAGUGGUGUAAAUUCUUGAAAGAAUUCAAGAAAAGCAAUUUAUUACUUUGGUAAAGUGUUUAAAAUUUGAACUGGUUUUUGGCGACAAUCUUUGUCACUGUGGUAUUUUUAUUUGUAAAUACAAUAUCAGAUUCUAUAGUUAUAGAAUUAAAAAUGUGAUUAAUUGAUAUUUAAUUUUUCAUCGAAACACUGUUAUCCUGAGAAUGUGAAACCAAAUGGAUUUGUUUAGUAUAUUUCAUGACAUAGCAUAAUAUAUAUGUCAUAAUAUUGCAUGAUAUUAUAGCAUUAGUUAAAUAACUGAUAACCAAAAAUGUAUCCAAAGGUUUUUUAAAUAUGUCCCUCCGAGAUGUGAGCAUUUAACGAUAUUUUACUGCCAAAACAUAACCUCAGGUACUGUGUGACCUGAGUUAACUUUACAUAUUGAAAAAAAAGUAUAUAUAUAUUGAAGAAAACCAGUGUGUUAAUGAAUAUUGGCAUAUAAAUAACAGUAAAACAUUUGUUUUCUCCUUGAA